rnacentral:lncRNA from 1 species
CCUCUGUGGAGGAGCCUGAGAGAAAGGCUCAUGGAGGGCAGAGGGUGGAGGGCAUGGGACCAAGUUCCUUAGAUAAGGCUGUGGCCCCAUGGUAAGGGUCUGGACGGGGAAGGCCUCUGAUCAUCAGCCAGUGUCAGGUGUCACAGCAUAGCCAAGCAACCAGACGAGCGGAUGAGACCUUGUUAAUCCCCAGUGGUGAUGAGUAACCGUUCUCUCUAUCACAUAUCACAUACUGGUGAUUCCUCCAGGUGGCACUAGGAGGGAUCUUCACCGCAGAGGGCAUUCGAGAGAUGACAACUCUAGACAUCCAUGCAACUUCUGUUCUUGUGCUCCUGCUGUUUUCAAAUUCCACAGUCACAGACUGCACCCUGGAAAACUCAGGACACCCUAGAGUGAACUGCUCUGAAGAACAAAGCUACAAAUGGAAAAAUAGUUUGAUCCCCUUGAAUCUUUUCACCCUUGGUAUUCUCCCCCUUCACACCCGAGCACCGCCCCUUGAUAAAUGAGAACACAUGUACUGAAAUCGCAGACUUCACCCUCCAGACUCAUGGUCCUCAUGCUCUCAGGGGGGACACGUUUCCUUUCAAACCUCCAGAAUAAAUUCAUCACAGCAGGAAGAACAUUGUUUUUCUU